GACGAACGCUGGCGGCGUGCCUAAUACAUGCAAGUAGAACGCACAGUUUAUACCGUAGCUUGCUACACCAUAGACUGUGAGUUGCGAACGGGUGAGUAACGCGUAGGUAACCUGCCUGGUAGCGGGGGAUAACUAUUGGAAACGAUAGCUAAUACCGCAUAAUAUUAAUUAUUGCAUGAUAAUUAAUUGAAAGGUGCAAUUGCACCACUACCAGAUGGACCUGCGUUGUAUUAGCUAGUAGGUGAGGUAACGGCUCACCUAGGCGACGAUACAUAGCCGACCUGAGAGGGUGAUCGGCCACACUGGGCUUGAGCCACGGCCCACACUCCUCCGGGGGGCAGCAGUAGGGAAUCUUCGGCAAUGGACCAAAGUCUGACCGAGCAACGCCGCGUGAGUGAAGAAGGUUUUCGGAUCUUAAAGCUUUUUUUUAAGGGAAAAACGGGUGGGAGGGGGGAAAGUUCCCCCUGUGGCGGUAUUUUCCCAAAAAGGGCCGGCUACCUCCGU
rnacentral:rRNA from 1 species